GAUCUUUCCGUUAUCCAUACUAAAUUUUAAUUUUAUUGUCGACAACGAUACUACAUUCUACUUUAAAAAAGAUGAAAAGUUCUCUAAACGUCUGGAGAUUUCAAAGGUGUCAACUUUUUUGUACUUAUAUGGGGUCUUAUCAUAAUUUAUUUUUUAAAUCUACUCAUUCCUGUCUAGACAUGUCUAGAAGCCGGUUAUUUGAUUCCAGACGCUUAUUCUACUUCCAACCAGGAAAAGCUUAAUUUUGAAACUUUCCCAGCUCUUGUUAAUUUAUGCGAAUACUCUCCGAAAGAGUAAGUUUCAUGAAUAAUUUUAGCUUUGAUGUGUUGAGUCUGGUUGAUGGGAGGCUUUACAUGAAAAAUCAAUCUUUAGAAAAUCAUCAAAAAACUAGUCAUUUGACCAGAAAUGUAAUUCUCGUGAAUAACAGUGCAAC